GGGGAAUAUUGCACAAUGGGGGAAACCCUGAUGCAGCGACGCCGCGUGAGUGAUGAAGUAUUUCGGUAUGUAAAACUCUAUCAGCAGGGAAGAUAAUGACGGUACCUGACUAAGAAGCACCGGCUAAAUACGUGCCAGCAGCCGCGGUAAUACGUAGGGAGCAAGCGUUGUCCGGAUUUACUGGGUGUAAAGGGUGCGUAGGCGGCUUUGCAAGUCAGAUGUGAAAUCUAUGGGCUCAACCCAUAAACUGCAUUUGAAACUGUAGAGCUUGAGUGAAGUAGAGGCAGGCGGAAUUCCCCGUGUAGCGGUGAAAUGCGUAGAGAUGGGGAGGAACACCAGUGGCGAAGGCGGCCUGCUGGGCUUUAACUGACGCUGAGGCACGAAAGCGUGGGUAGCAAACAGGAUUAGAUACCCUGGUAGUCCACGCUGUAAACGAUGAUUACUAGGUGUGGGGGGUCUGACCCCUUCCGUGCCGGAGUUAACACAAUAAGUAAUCCACCUGGGGAGUACGGCCGCAAGGUUGAAACUCAAAGGAAUUGACGGGGGCCCGCACAAGCAGUGGAGUAUGUGGUUUAAUUCGAAGCAACGCGAAGAACCUUACCAGGUCUUGACAUCCAACUAACGAAGUAGAGAUACAUUAGGUGCCCUUCGGGGAAAGUUGAGACAGGUGGUGCAUGGUUGUCGUCAGCUCGUGUCGUGAGAUGUUGGGUUAAGUCCCGCAACGAGCGCAACCCUUGCUAUUAGUUGCUACGCAAGAGCACUCUAAUAGGACUGCCGUUGACAAAACGGAGGAAGGUGGGGACGACGUCAAAUCAUCAUGCCCCUUAUGACCUGGGCUACACACGUACUACAAUGGAUGUUAACAGAGGGAAGCAAGACAGCGAUGUGGAGCAAACCCCUAAAAACAUUCUCAGUUCAGAUUGCAGGCUGCAACCCGCCUGCAUGAAGAUGGAAUUGCUAGUAAUCGCGGAUCAGCAUGCCGCGGUGAAUACGUUCCCG
rnacentral:rRNA from 1 species